GUCUCAGUGGCACAGUGGUAAGUGCACAGCCCUGGAUAGGCUGAUACGCGGGUUCGAAUCCCGCCUGAGAUG
rnacentral:tRNA from 1 species